rfam:Tstilago hordei, Th4857-4, WGS project CAGI01000000 data, contig: THOR_scaffold_5.00062
GCCCCGGUGGCCAAGUUGGAUUAAGGCAUGUGGCUUAUGUUUCUCAGAUGCUUAUUAGCCUCUCGAGAUCAUGGGGUUAUUUCUUCGCAGGAGAGCAAUCUUCUAAUCAAGUAACCGCGAGAUCGUGGGUUCGAGUCCCACCCGGGGCA